ACCGGCACUCUAGGAGUUUCCAAUCUUAAAUUUUCUUUUAUUCCAAAAACGACGUCAACGUUUUAGCUCUGAUGAAAGCUCCACGGGGAGCUGAAACGUUAACGUCAUUUUUGGAAUAAAAGAAAAUUUAAGAUUGGAAACUCCUAGAGUGCCGGUA
rnacentral:miRNA from 1 species